rnacentral:rRNA from 1 species
UACGUAGGGUGCAAGCGUUGUCCGGAAUUAUUGGGCGUAAAGAGCUCGUAGGCGGUUUGUCGCGUCUGCUGUGAAAACUCAGGGCUUAACCCUGAGCCUGCAGUGGGUACGGGCGGACUAGAGUGUGGUAGGGGAGAUCGGAAUUCCUGGUGUAGCGGUGGAAUGCGCAGAUAUCAGGAGGAACACCGGUGGCGAAGGCGGAUCUCUGGGCAUUACCUGACGCUGAGGAGCGAAAGUGUGGGGAGCGAACAGG